rnacentral:rRNA from 1 species
ACGGACCAUCGCAAGUACCUCGUUGUGGCGCCGGCGGGACAGUUGAUGGUCGUGCUCAAGGAGACCACGGGUCGACGGACGUCGCCCUCCUUCAAGGUGCAGGUCCUCGACGCCGGUAGGGAGGGGUGGGAGGAGACAGACGACAUCGGCAACACUGCAUUGUUGGUCGCGGUUAACGGUUCCCUCUGCGUGUCCACGAUGGAGCACCCGGAGCUCAAGGCCGGCUGCGUCUACUACUACACCGAUGAUGAGGAUGAUCUGCGGCCGUGCAAGGAUGCACGCAAGGACGAGGAGAAUGGCAUCAGGGUGUUCAGCCUCAAGGACCGCAGAACAGAGAUGGCGGGGGGCCUCAGAUGGCGCCGGAGCUGGCCGCCCCCGGCGUGGUUCAUUCCUUCCAUCCCAUGA